GCUCCCGUAGUCUAGUCCGGUCAAGGAUUCGUGGCCUUCGACCACGUAACGCGGGUUCGAAUCCCGCCGGGAGCA
rnacentral:tRNA from 1 species